rnacentral:rRNA from 1 species
GACGAACGCUGGCGGCGUGCUUAACACAUGCAAGUCGAACGGAAAGGCCCUGCUUUUGUGGGGUGCUCGAGUGGCGAACGGGUGAGUAACACGUUAGUAACCUGCCCUUGACUUUGGGAUAACUUCAGGAAACUGGGGCUAAUACCGGAUAGGACCUCCUGCUGCAUGGUGGGGGUUGGAAAGUUUCGGCGGUUGGGGAUGUGCUCGCGGCUUAUCAGCUUGUUUGUGGGGUAGUGGAUUACCAAGGCUUUGACGGGUAGCCGGCCUGAGAGGGUGACCGGCAACAUGGGGAAUGAGAUACGGCCCAGAGUCCUACGGGAGGCAGCAGUGGGGGAUAGUGCACAAUGGGCGGAAGUCUGAUGCAGCAACGCCGCGUGCGGGAUGAUGGCCUUCGGGUUGUAGAGAGCUUUCGCCUGUGACGAAGAGUGAGUGACGGUAAUGGGUAAAGAAGCACCGGCUAACUACGUG